rnacentral:lncRNA from 1 species
CCAAAUGUAUAUUUAAGCAAUCAGAUUCCCCAAAUAUAUAUUUCAACAAUCAGAUUCUCUCUAAAUACAUAUCAGUUAAUAAAAAUACAUAUAGAAAAAUAUCUUUUCCUCUUUAUCUUCUUUCGAUUCAUAACCGGAAGAGUUUUCAACAUCAUCACUUAGAACUUUGCUUGACUCUCCAAUUUGUUUUACUUUUCUUUUUUUCUGAAAUCUUUGUAAUUUUGGGGCUUUUGGAGAUGAAGUUUUUUUCAACAGUUUUUUUUCAUAAUCUCGAUCAUCUUCUCUAGAUCGUUACAAUACUUGAACCUAACCUCUUUAAUACUCACUGAUUUCUUCGACUGUAUAGGAGUAGAAAUAACUUUAAAAACUUCAUCUUGAGUUAGUUCAAGACUAAAUGAUGGUGGAUCAUCAGAAGCUAAA